rnacentral:lncRNA from 1 species
GAGGAUAUUAUUCUAAGUGAGGAUUUAAUUAUAAAUUUACCAAGAGUAGAUUUUUCUUUUGAGUAAAUAAUUCUUCCUUUGGAAUUUAUUAUUUUGGUUUGGAGUUAAACCAUUUAAAUAGAACUUAUUUGUAUUUAGGAAUUAGUAUUAGUCUAUGUUUAGUUCAUGAGCUCCGCCAUUGAAAAGCUCUUUUUUUGUUCAUGAAGAUCAACUAGUAAAAC